UACGUAGGGUGCGAGCGUUAAUCGGAAUUACUGGGCGUAAAGCGUGCGCAGGCGGCUUUGCAAGACAGAGGUGAAAUCCCCGGGCUCAACCUGGGAACUGCCUUUGUGACUGCAUAGCUAGAGUACGGCAGAGGGGGAUGGAAUUCCGCGUGUAGCAGUGAAAUGCGUAGAUAUGCGGAGGAACACCAAUGGCGAAGGCAAUCCCCUGGGCCUGUACUGACGCUCAUGCACGAAAGCGUGGGGAGCAAACAGG
rnacentral:rRNA from 1 species